UAGGGAAUCUUCCGCAAUGGGCGAAAGCCUGACGGAGCAACGCCGCGUGAGUGAUGAAGGUCUUCGGAUCGUAAAACUCUGUUAUUAGGGAAGAACAAAUGUGUAAGUAACUAUGCACGUCUUGACGGUACCUAAUCAGAAAGCCACGGCUAACUACGUGCCAGCAGCCGCGGUAAUACGUAGGUGGCAAGCGUUAUCCGGAAUUAUUGGGCGUAAAGCGCGCGUAGGCGGUUUUUUAAGUCUGAUGUGAAAGCCCACGGCUCAACCGUGGAGGGUCAUUGGAAACUGGAAAACUUGAGUGCAGAAGAGGAAAGUGGAAUUCAAUGUGUAGCGGUGAAAUGCGCAGAGAUAUGGAGGAACACCAGUGGCGAAGGCGACUUUCUGGUAUGUAACUGACGCUGAUGUGCGAAAGCGUGGGGAUCAAACAGG
rnacentral:rRNA from 1 species